AGUGAACGCUGGCGGUAGGCCUAACACAUGCAAGUCGAACGGCAGCACAGUAAGAGCUUGCUCUUACGGGUGGCGAGUGGCGGACGGGUGAGGAAUACAUCGGAAUCUACUUUUUCGUGGGGGAUAACGUAGGGAAACUUACGCUAAUACCGCAUACGACCUACGGGUGAAAGCAGGGGAUCUCCGGACCUUGCGCGAUUGAAUGAGCCGAUGUCGGAUUAGCUAGUUGGCGGGGUAAAGGCCCACCAAGGCGACGAUCCGUAGCUGGUCUGAGAGGAUGAGCAGCCACACUGGAACUGAGACACGGUCCAGACUCCUACGGGAGGCAGCAGUGGGGAAUAUUGGACAAUGGGCGCAAGCCUGAUCCAGCCAUACCGCGUGGGUGAAGAAGGCCUUCGGGUUGUAAAGCCCUUUUGUUGGGAAAGAAAAGCAGCAGGUUAAUACCCCGCUGUUCUGACGGUACCCAAAGAAUAAGCACCGGCUAACUUCGUG
rnacentral:rRNA from 1 species